UCCUCUUAGACAGUUGACUGUUAGUGAUGAUGAUGGCAAAGAAUUCUUGGAGUCUUCUAUGUCCAAGGAAGUGUGUGGUGGAGUAAUAGCUAAGCAUGUUUAUGAAAACUGUUUAGAAGAGUGUUACAUGGGAGAUAGCAUUCUGAUGGUUACACAAAAGGCUAGUGAAUUGAGCUUACUGAAAAAUGCAGGGACGUUUCUCAUUACAGCGAAGGAAAGAAGUGAUGGGAUCGUUGAUGUGAGGAAGAUUCGUGGAGAAAUUUUAGUUGAACAAGUUCUACAUGAAUGGUUAGUGAGCUUAAACGAUGGUGAUAGAUUGUUGAUGAAGCAGUGGAGGUCUGAUGAAAACGGUUUUCAGGAAAUCAUUAGUAUGUUUAAGGAACUUCAAGUGACGUCUCAGGAUCGACAAUGCCAUCAGGAUGAAGUUCUGAGUCUUCUGACUUCAACAAUUCAUUCUGGUAUGGACAAGACACUACAUUACAACCUUGUACUAGCUAAUUAUAUUUGGAAACCAGGUGGGUACAUGUGGUUAGAAGUUCUGAGAGAGUGGUGCAAGGAAUUUCAAAAGGAUAGAAGGGAUGAUGUGUUGAAGUUUUUGGUCUGGUUCGGUGCUUACAAUAGAAAGCUUGUAGCAGACAUAGAGUUUUAUACCCAUAGUUCUAAGAAUCAGAAGUUGCUGAUCACACAUCAUGGGUUAAAGAGUCAGAAGAUGCAGACAAGUCAUGACUUGUUUUCAAAUCAUUGUUCUUGUGAAAGGCAAAUUUCGAUCUCUAAGCUGUUGAGUACGGUUGCUGUCAUCACUUUUAGGAGAAAUACAAUGCAAGGAUUAGAGAGUGAGCAUAUACAGGGAAUAACAAUGACUGCUACAAGGGAACGACUUUCUGAAAUUUCUCUGGCAAAUCGAGUGUGGAAGCCCGGUAAGUUCCUCUUACUGGUUAAUCGAGUGCAAUGGGAAUGGUUCCAGAAGUUUUACAGCUUGGAUCUAACUGUGAAGCUAGUGCAAAGACAGGAUAUUAAAUCUUGGAUCACUCUUUGUGAUAAGGAUGAAGAUCUGAAGCGAAGCACUAGAAAAGUGAAGAUGAGAAGUGAAUAUAAGCAAGAAAGUAUUGAAGAUGAGCAAAGAAGCAAUGGUGGAAUGGCGGUUGACUACUACCUUGAGGACAAGGUAGCCUUAAAAGGGAUGAGUAGUGAGUAUAAUGGUAAGAUGAUGUGGCUCAUUUUACAUGGCUUGGGAGUGCAAGCGUUAUCAGUUACCAAGGAACCUUGGGAAGAGGUCAUAUUCAUUACUUCCCGGCUGAAACAGAGGAUAAGAGUAUGUGUAAGAGGAGAAGACGCUUACUCUCCAAC
rnacentral:lncRNA from 1 species